rnacentral:rRNA from 1 species
UAGGGAAUCUUCGGCAAUGGACGAAAGUCUGACCGAGCAACGCCGCGUGAGUGAAGAAGGUUUUCGGAUCGUAAAACUCUGUUGUUAGAGAAGAACAAGGACGUUAGUAACUGAACGUCCCCUGACGGUAUCUAACCAGAAAGCCACGGCUAACUACGUGCCAGCAGCCGCGGUAAUACGUAGGUGGCAAGCGUUGUCCGGAUUUAUUGGGCGUAAAGCGAGCGCAGGCGGUUUCUUAAGUCUGAUGUGAAAGCCCCCGGCUCAACCGGGGAGGGUCAUUGGAAACUGGGAGACUUGAGUGCAGAAGAGGAGGGUGGAAUUCCAUGUGUAGCGGUGAUAUGCGUAGAUAUAUGGAGGAACACCAGUGGCGAAGGCGGCUCUCUGGUCUGUAACUGACGCUGAGGCUCGAAAGCGUGGGGAGCAAACAGG